GGACAACACAGCAGUCGUGAUUAUAAUGACCUAACAAUUAAGGGUUAGGUGAAAAUCCCUCUACACUCGGGAGACUGUUCUGAAUCUUCAUCACGUACAGGUGCCACAGCUAAGCCUGCGUGCUUGCCCGGUCUCACUCAGAACUGGAAACGCCCUGUGGACUCCUGUUUCCUCACCUCCUGGCCUGCUCCUCUGACCGAAGGACACGGCUCUGGGACUCCUUUCCUUCCUGGCACUGGAUAAGGGCUAAGAUGUUGCUUCUGCAGGUCCUUCCCGCAAUAAAAGUGGAGGUAUCUCUCUCUAGCCAGGGAUCCCCUCUAUGAUCCUGAAACUCCAAUCUCCUCUGGGAUCGAACAUUCAUUUCUGCAGCUGUCUUCUUGCCCAGCAGUGUUCUUGGUUGUGCUUUAAGGCAGCCACACAGGGGUAUUUAUCCAGGACAGCACAGCUGGCAUGUGUCCUGUAACUUUAGUUGUGUCCGACUCUGCGAUCCCGUGGACUGUAGC
ensembl:lncRNA